UUGCUGUACAUUAUUGCUGUUUACAGUUUAUCUCUAUCUAUAAUAAUAUUCAAGAUAAUAACAAAAAAACAGCAAAAUUUCCUCAAAAUUACCAAUUCUGAGGCAGCAACCUAACAACCGAUUAUCCGAUUCAUCUGAAAAUUCCAGGGCAGAUAGAUCGUGACCUGAUCAACAAUUUUACUUCAUGUCUGAUUUGCUCUUAAUGCUUUUGUUUUUGAGUUAUAAGCCAAAAACUCAUUUUACCCCC
rnacentral:lncRNA from 1 species